AUCAAGACCAUUCAAGCUUGAACAUCGGGAGAAGUUGGCCUCCACAGAAAAGAAUGCUUCAUUGGUUGCAGCACUUGAACAACAUGUGAGAAAACCCAGGAAAAGCUGUCCGACAGGGGAAAGUCAAAAGUUGUAUCUGUUGAUAUGCAAGAAUGAACUGGUGUGUACUUCCUCUUCAUCAUCGAGGUCACUCGCAGGAUUUUCGUCC